rnacentral:rRNA from 1 species
GACGAACGCUGGCGGCGUGCCCAAUACAUGCAAGUCGAGCGCAGGAAACUGACGGAACUCUUCGGAGGGAAGGCAGUGGAAUGAGCGGCGGACGGGUGAGUAACACGUAAGGAACCUGCCUCAAGGAUUGGGAUAACUCCGAGAAAUCGGAGCUAAUACCGGAUAGUUCAACGGACCGCAUGGUCCGCUGAUGAAAGGCGCUCCGGCGUCACCUUGAGAUGGCCUUGCGGUGCAUUAGCUAGUUGGUGGGGUAACGGCCCACCAAGGCGACGAUGCAUAGCCGACCUGAGAGGGUGAUCGGCCACACUGGGACUGAGACACGGCCCAGACUCCUACGGGAGGCAGCAGUAGGGAAUCUUCCACAAUGGACGAAAGUCUGAUGGAGCAACGCCGCGUGAGUGAUGAAGGUUUUCGGAUCGUAAAACUCUGUUGUAAGGGAAGAACACGUACGAGAGGAAAUGCUCGUACCUUGACGGUACCUUACGAGAAAGCCACGGCUAACUACGUGCCAGCCGCCGCGGUAAUAC